AUGCUCUUGCAUGAGGUCGAACUCGAUGAGCUCACCGAGGACGACAUCCUAUGGAAGCACACGGCUAGUGGGCAAUAUUCGGCGGCGUCUGCAUACAAGGCACAGUUCUUAGGGAUGGUUCUCUCACCCAUGGAUAAAAUGAUUUGGAAGGCUUGGGCUCCUCCAAAAGUCAAGUUUUUGCUUGGUUAG
rnacentral:rRNA from 1 species